rnacentral:rRNA from 1 species
CGGUGUCUACCUCUUCCCAUUCCGAACAGAGAAGUCAAGCCCGCCAGAGCCGAUGGUACUGCGGUAAUACGUGGGAGAGUAGGUCGGCGCCAAAU